rnacentral:rRNA from 1 species
UGGGGAAUUUUGGACAAUGGGCGCAAGCCUGAUCCAGCCAUGCCGCGUGCGGGAAGAAGGCCUUCGGGUUGUAAACCGCUUUUGUCAGGGAAGAAAUCUUCUGAGUUAAUACCUCGGGAGGAUGACGGUACCUGAAGAAUAAGCACCGGCUAACUACGUGCCAGCAGCCGCGGUAAUACGUAGGGUGCAAGCGUUAAUCGGAAUUACUGGGCGUAAAGCGUGCGCAGGCGGUUUUGUAAGACAGAGGUGAAAUCCCCGGGCUCAACCUGGGAACUGCCUUUGUGACUGCAAGGCUUGAGUGCGGCAGAGGGGGAUGGAAUUCCGCGUGUAGCAGUGAAAUGCGUAGAUAUGCGGAGGAACACCGAUGGCGAAGGCAAUCCCCUGGGCCUGCACUGACGCUCAUGCACGAAAGCGUGGGGAGCAAACAGGAUUAGAUACCCCUGGUAGUCCACGCCCUAAACGAUGUCAACUGGUUGUUGGGAAGGUUCCUUCUCAGUAACGUAGCUAACGCGUGAAGUUGACCGCCUGGGGAGUACGGCCGCAAGGUUGAAACUUAAAGGAAUUGACGGGGUCAUAGCUGUUU